CCCCACCCCUCCUAGCCACUUCAUCUGCCCGAUAUUAAAGGAUAUAAUGAUUGACCCUUGUGUUGCUUCGGAUGGAUACACUUAUGACCGCAAAGCAAUUGAGAAAUGGCUUGAAGAGAAUGAUAAAUCACCAAUGACAAAUUUGCCUUUGCCAAAUAAGAAUCUCUUACCAAACUAUACACUUCUGUCUGCAAUCAUGGAGUGGAAGUCUAAUAAGCAAUGACAGAUUGCCUUCUGUUCAUUGUCAGGUUAACACACCAGGGAAUUUUUUUUUAUAGAGGUCCUUAGAAUGAAUGGGUGUUGUGUAAAUAGAAUUGAGAGCAUAAAUUAUCGUUGUCGUAUAUAAUUCAUGAUGCUAUUUUUGGGUGAUUAUAAAGAUGAACAUAUGGCACAGAACAAAAAAAUAGCAUCAUGAAUUAUAUACGACA
rnacentral:misc_RNA from 1 species